CCACAUGGUCUAUGUCGGAGCUUAUAGGGCAUUCGGGCACAGUCUUGGCCCGCGAGUGUGGUGCGCAAGACCAGGUUUGAACACUAGUUCAGGUAAGGUUCAAGUGCGAUAACGAAUGCGGGUGCGGUCAUGCAGGCGAGUGAGUGCGGGUAUGUUUGAUAUGCAUAGGAGCUUCAUGCAGGUCACAACUUAAGUGACCUAAAACACAGUCGAGUUUUCUAUGGCUAGAUUUGGGUCAUCAUAGUUAAAAUAGGAAAGAGUGGAAGAUGAGAGGAGUUGGGAGAUUGGAUACAACCAGAAGUCUAGGAGGCUUUGAAGGCUAUAAUAAGGGAUGUGGGGGUGGCUUAAGGGAGAG
rnacentral:lncRNA from 1 species